rnacentral:rRNA from 1 species
AAAAUGGAUAAUCCAGAGAAUGUGGGCCAUAUGGUAGGGAAGGAGUUUGGGAUGUUCUUUGCUCAUGCCACGGCCUUUGUCCUCCUAUUCUUACAGUGUGGAACUCCAGAGUAUAUUGAUCAGCCUCAUCAGAGAUACGAAGAGGCAAUGGAUAGUUAACUGCAGAGUCAUGCUGUUUUCUCCCAUUGCCGAGGCACAGCUGAGAGGAGUUUCGAUGUUCCAAUGCUGGCAAGAUUUAAGUUGAAGGCUGCGGCUACGAGCUUGUGGGCUGAUUCGCAAUGCGUUCCAGUUUGAUCAAAUUCUCCAAAAGUUGCACUGAUGAGCCAAUGCAUUGCUGAGUGAAUCUUUUUGUAAUUUUCUGUUGCUUAGGUCUACUUACUGAAUCAGUGAAUCUUAUUGAUUCAUGUUGCUCAUUACUUCCUUGUAAAAAAUUAACAUACUAUAGCAUCUUACUGGAUCUUUUUUUAUCAAUUGGCGUGUACUGUUUUGUACUGCCUCCUUUUGGAAAUAUUUGUCGGAUAAAUGGAUGUAUCUAUAGGUAUUUCAGUUCUAGAUACAUCCAUUUUUAUUCAUUUCCCGGACAAGUAUUUUCGGAUGGAGGG